rnacentral:rRNA from 1 species
UACAGAGGGUGCGAGCGUUAAUCGGAAUGACUGGGCGUAAAGCGUGCGCAGGCGGUUAUGUAAGACAGGUGUGAAAUCCCCGGGCUUAACCUGGGAACUGCAUUUGUGACUGCAUAGCUAGAGUACGGUAGAGGGGGAUGGAAUUCCGCGUGUAGCAGUGAAAUGCGUAGAUAUGCGGAGGAACACCGAUGGCGAAGGCAAUCCCCUGGACCUGUACUGACGCUCAUGCACGAAAGCGUGGGGAGCAAACAGG